GUAGGUGAACCUGCGGAAGGAUCAUUAACAAAUCCCCCAUCGUGUUCAUUCCUCUUUGUUUCAUUUCCAUUGAGAUUGUGUGUGUGCAUGGGGUGGAGAUUGAUAUUUCCAUUCUUGUGCAUGCAUUCUCUCCAUUGGAAAUGGACAAAAAAGGGAUGCAACACAUUUGUUCCAUGCUUGUGUUUGUGCACGUUCACUCUGCACAUCAUGACAUGACAUUUCUACGAAUCAUCUGAUCAUUGCAAUUCAU
rnacentral:misc_RNA from 1 species